UUUUUAAUUAUUAACCCCCCAAUCCUGAAAAAAAGAACCAUUGCUUUCAGGUUUCAACUCACUCACUCUCUCUCUCUCUCUUCUUUAAGACUCUAACCCUUAAGCCUUAAUCAUAACCAGUAACCACCCACAACAGCCACUUUCAUCAAUUUACUUAAUCUCCACAUAACAAAAACAACACCAACAACAACAUUUGUUGCUUCGUUCUAUGUUCCUGUCUAGAACAACUACAUGGAUGGCAACGUUAACCCUUUUGGAAACGUGCCAGUGCCACCCCCUCCAAUACAAGUCCCUGACUUUGCUAUCUCCUCCUCCUCAUCGCCAACCCCAACGACGUCGUCUCCCUCUUCGACGCCCUCCGCCGGCGUCCGCUUCCGGGGAACGCGGAGCCGGUGCGGGAAGUGGGUGUCGGAGAUAAGGGAGCCACGUAAAACGAAGCGCAUUUGGCUCGGGACAUACCCCACACCGGAAAUGGCAGCAGCGGCUUAUGAUGUGGCGGCUCUCGCGUUGAAGGGACCCGACACGCCCCUUAACUUCCCCGAUUCCAUACUCUCCUAUCCGAUUCCCGCGUCAUUGUCCGCCGCCGAUAUCCGCACCGCCGCUGCAGCUGCGGCGCAGGCUAGGAUGGUGAGGGUGCCGCAGGAGAGUGCUAACCCUGGUGGUCAUGGUGACGCUGGACAAGGGUUGGAGAAGCGUGAGGAGUACAUUGAUGAGGAUGAGUUGUUGAACAUGCCGAAUUUGCUCGAUGAUAUGGCCAGGGGAAUGCAGGAAAUGAUCAAUUCCAAAGUAACACGUCUCUCUUUUGAUGCUUUACUAUUGGAUUAAAAGAAUCGAUGUUUUGACCUCUUUUUCAUUCAUUAGUGUCAUCAAGAGAGAUUUUGCUUGCAUUAAAUACCGAUGGAAUUCUGGAGGGCAGUUUCAGGGUUUAUAAAUGCUGUGGAAAUUGGAACAUGGAUUAAGAUAGAACACUCUGGUCUAUGAUAGACAUUUACCUUUUGGAGGCCUUCCCUUGUCAAUAUUUGCCGACAUGAUGCAAAGUUUGUGCCGACGGUUAUGACAGAAUGUUGAUACAUAUAUUGAUGAUUUCUGACCAAGGCGCCUCUAUUUGAACAGUAGCAUAUUUUCCUUUGCAGGUGUCAUAUUUACCGAUUGAAAUGUUUGAUUAGGAUAUAAUACUUUAAUUUGGUUUAUUAUUGAAAACAUAUUAUUUUUUAUUGGGUGUAAGGACGAAAUGUCAGUACAAAAUACACCAAGUUGGCAAGUUACAACUAUACUUUGUUUGAGUGUGAUAACAAAAUGUCCUCCUUUUGAUA